rnacentral:ncRNA from 1 species
UCAAAGACUGUGAAGGGAACAAGAUAAAACUGGCAGGCCUAAGAGAGUCGACGGUUGGUGCAAGUCGAUGGCAAAAGUUUUAUGUAUAGCUCAUCCCGGAGUUGUCUGCUUGAUAUGUAGAGCAGAACGUGUGGCAACGUUAAACGCCUGGGCCUUGUUUGAGGCUGAGAGGGCUGCUUGGCAGCUGAAUUAGGGUGGUACCGCGUGGAGAACAGUUCCUCGCCCCUAUG